GAGUUUGAUUAUGGCUCAGGAUGAACGCUGGCGGCGUGCUUAACACAUGCAAGUCGAACGGAACGUAACCGAGGAAAUUUUUCGAAGUGGAAUCGGUUACGUUUAGUGGCGGACGGGUGCGUAACACGUGGGCAACCUGCCCUGCUUUUCGGAAUAACGCCGGGAAACCGUCGCUAAUGCCGAAUGAUAUGAGAAGAAGGCAUCUUCUUUUCAUCAAAGAAUUUCGAAGCAGGAUGGGCCCGCGCCGGAUUAGCUGGUUGGUGAGGUAACGGCUCACCAAGGCGACGAUCCGUAGCCGACCUGAGAGGGUGAUCGGCCACACUGGAACUGAGACACGGUCCAGACUCCUACGGGAGGCAGCAGUGGGGAAUAUUGCACAAUGGGCGAAAGCCUGAUGCAGCAACCGCCGCGUGAGCGAUGAAGGCUUUCGAGUCGUAAAGCUCUGUCGCAGGGGAAGAAAAAGACCGUACCCUGGAG
rnacentral:rRNA from 1 species